GCGACCCCAGUUCAGGCGGGACUACCCGCUGAAUUUAAGCAUAU
rnacentral:rRNA from 1 species